CUCCGACUUCAUGGGGUCGAGUUGCAGACCCCAAUCCGAACUGAGACCGGCUUUUUGGGAUUCGCUCCACCUUACGGUAUCGCAGCCCUCUGUACCGGCCAUUGUAGCAUGCGUGAAGCCCAAGACAUAAGGGGCAUGAUGAUUUGACGUCAUCCCCACCUUCCUCCGAGUUGACCCCGGCAGUCUCCCAUGAGUCCCCGGCAUAACCCGCUGGCAACAUAGGACGAGGGUUGCGCUCGUUGCGGGACUUAACCCAACAUCUCACGACACGAGCUGACGACAACCAUGCACCACCUGUGUACGAGUGUCCAAAGAGAACCCCGUCUCGGGGGCUUUCUCGUACAUGUCAAGCCUUGGUAAGGUUCUUCGCGUUGCAUCGAAUUAAUCCGCAUGCUCCGCCGCUUGUGCGGGCCCCCGUCAAUUCCUUUGAGUUUUAGCCUUGCGGCCGUACUCCCCAGGCGGGGCACUUAAUGCGUUAGCUGCGGCACGGAACUCGUGGAAUGAGCCCCACACCUAGUGCCCAACGUUUACGGCAUGGACUACCAGGGUAUCUAAUCCUGUUCGCUCCCCAUGCUUUCGCUCCUCAGCGUCAGUUGCGGCCCAGAGACCUGCCUUCGCCAUCGGUGUUCCUCCUGAUAUCUGCGCAUUCCACCGCUACACCAGGAAUUCCAGUCUCCCCUACCGCACUCUAGUCUGCCCGUACCCGAUGCAAGCCCGAGGUUGAGCCUCGGGAUCUCACACCAGACGCGACAGACCGCCUACGAGCUCUUUACGCCCAAUAAUUCCGGACAACGCUUGCGCCCUACGUAUUACCGCGGCUGCUGGCACGUAGUUAGCCGGCGCUUCUUCUGCAGGUACCGUCACUUGCGCUUCUUCCCUGCUGAAAGAGGUUUACAACCCGAAGGCCGUCAUCCCUCACGCGGCGUCGCUGCAUCAGGCUUGCGCCCAUUGUGCAAUAUUCCCCACUGCUGCCUCCCGUAGGAGUCUGGGCCGUGUCUCAGUCCCAGUGUGGCCGGUCGCCCUCUCAGGCCGGCUACCCGUCGACGCCUUGGUAGGCCAUCACCCCACCAACAAGCUGAUAGGCCGCGAGCCCAUCCCCCACCGAAAAACUUUCCAACCCACACCAUGCGAUGCGAGCUCAUAUCCGGUAUUAGACCCCGUUUCCAAGGCUUAUCCCGAAGUGGAGGGCAGGUUGCUCACGUGUUACUCACCCGUUCGCCACUGAUCCACCCAGCAAGCUGGGCUUCAC
rnacentral:rRNA from 1 species